rnacentral:rRNA from 1 species
AUUCGAAGCNACGCGAAGGACCUUACCAAGGCUUGACAUCCUGAUGACCGGUAUAGAGAUAUACCUUCUCUUCGGAGCAUCAGUGACAGGUGGUGCAUGGUUGUCGUCAGCUCGUGUCGUGAGAUGUUGGGUUAAGUCCCGCAACGAGCGCAACCCUUGUCGCCAGUUGCCAGCACGUAAUGGUGGGAACUCUGGUGAGACUGCUGUGGAUAACACGGAGGAAGGUGGGGACGACGUCAAAUCAUCAUGCCCCUUAUGUCUUGGGCUACAAACGUGCUACAAUGGCAAGUAACAAAGAGCAGCGAAACAGCAAUGUGGAGCGAAUCUCAAAAACCUUGUCUCAGUUCGGAUUGUGGGCUGCAACCCGCCCACAUGAAGAUGGAGUUGCUAGUAAUCGCGAAUCAGCAUGUCGCGGUGAAUGCGUUUCCGGGCUUUGUACACACCGCCCGUCACACCAUGGAAGUUGGGGGCACCCGAAGCUAGCUGGGAAACAGUUAUCGAAGGUGAACUUAAUGACUAGGGUGAAGUCGUAACAAGGUAACC